AUGGUAGGAUAGAGGCCUACCAUGGUGGUAACGGGUAACGGGGUGUUAGGGCACGACACCGGAGAGGGAGCCUGAGAAACGGCUACCAUAUCCAAGGAAGGCAGCAGGCGCGCAAAUUACCCAAUCCCGACACGGGGAGGUAGUGACAAUAAAUAACAAUACAGGGUUCUUUGAAUCUUGUAAUUGGAAUGAGUACAAUUUAAAUCUCUUAACGAGGAACAAUUGGAGGGCAAGUCUGGUGCCAGCAGCCGCGGUAAUUCCAGCUCCAAUAGCGUAUAUUAAAGUUGUUGCAGUUAAAAAGCUCGUAGUUGAAUUUCGGGAUCAAUACGUCGGUCCUGCUUCCGGGUACGUACUGGCGCCAUUGGUUUCUCCUUUCUGACGAACCAUGAUGUCAUUAAUUUGGUGUUAUGGGGAGUUAGGACUGUUACUUUGAAAAAAUUAGAGUGUUUGAAGCAGGCAUUAGCUUGAAUACAUUAGCAUGGAAUAAUGAAAUAGGACGUUCGAUCCUAUUUUGUUGGUUUCUAGGAUCAACGUAAUGAUUAAUAGGGAUAGUUGGGGGCAUUAGUAUUCAAUUGUCAGAGGUGAAAUUCUUGGAUUUAUUGAAGACUAACUACUGCGAAAGCAUUUGCCAAGGAUGUUUUCAUUAAUCAAGAACGAAAGUUAGGGGAUCGAAGACGAUCAGAUACCGUCGUAGUCUUAACCAUAAACUAUGCCGACUAGGGAUCGGAUGAUGUUAAUUUUUUAACGACUCAUUCGGCGCCUUACGGGAAACCAAAGUGUUUGGG
rnacentral:rRNA from 1 species